rnacentral:rRNA from 1 species
UACGUAGGGGGGCGAGCGUUUAUCCGGAAUUACUGGGCGUAAAGCGCACGCAGGCGGUUCGCCAAGUUUGGAGUGACAGUUGUCGGCUCAACCGACAAAGGACUUCAAAAACUGGUGAACUUGAGGACGAGAGAGGAACAUGGAACUCCAGGUGUAGUAGUGAAAUGCGUAGAUAUCUGGAAGAACACCAAUGGCGAAGGCAAUGUUCUGGCUCGUUUCUGACGCUCAGGUGCGAAAGCCAGGGGGAGCGAACGGG